rnacentral:rRNA from 1 species
AUUGAACGCUGGCGGCAGGCCUAACACAUGCAAGUCGAACGAGUGGCGGACGGGUGAGUAAUGUCUGGGAAACUGCCCGAUGGAGGGGGAUAACUACUGGAAACGGUAGCUAAUACCGCAUACCAUCGGAUGUGCCCAGCUGGGAUUAGAUAGUAGGUGGGGUAAAGGCUCACCUAGGCGACGCUCCCUAGCUGGUCUGAGAGGAGGACCAGCAAGACGGGAACUGAGACACGGGACAGACUCCUACGGGAGGCAGCAGGGGGGAAUAUUGCAAAAUGGGCGCAAGCAUGAUGCAGCCAUGCCGCGGUUAUGAAGAAGGCCUUCGGGUUGUAAAGUACUUUCAGCGAGGAGGCGUUACUCGCAGAAGAAGCACCGGCUAACUCCGUGCCAGCAGCCGCGGUAAUUC